rnacentral:rRNA from 1 species
UACAGAGGGGGCAAGCGUUGUUCGGAAUUACUGGGCGUAAAGGGCGCGUAGGCGGCCUUCUAAGUCGAACGUGAAAUCCCCGGGCUCAACCCGGGAACUGCGUCCGAGACUGAAAGGCUUGAAUCCGGGAGAGGGAUGUGGAAUUCCAGGUGUAGCGGUGAAAUGCGUAGAUAUUGGGAAGAACACCGGUGGCGAAGGCGGCUAUCUGGACCGACAUUGACGCUGAGGCGCGAAAGCGUGGGGAGCAAACAGG